CUAAAAUAGAGUCUAUUACUCCUGAUUCUGACUUUCUUUUUCAUUAGGUCACAGGAAAGCAGCUUCUAACCUGCUGUAUUGUCUCUAAAACCACUACUUGGUUUUGGUGGUACAUUAUAUGGGUCUCAUGAUGGAGCCCUGGCAGGCUUGGGAUUCACUUGACCGACAAGAAUAGACUUGGAAUCACAAAGAUUCUCCUGCAUCUACUUCCCACCGGGAAGCAAGUUCCCAAGUGACAAGGAAGACUACCAGUAUUCCCAGUCUCUAAUUCAGAUGAGUAUAUGCUAAGGAACCCAGUGAGGUGUAAGACUUGGUCAUCUCUACUUACAGUAUGGGGAACUGAAGCCCAGAGAGAUUAAGGAACAUGACUAAGGCGGUGGCAGCUAGCAGAGGUCAUGAGCCAAUGAACCACGGCUGCUUUCUCUCCAACAGAAGACCUUUACAUGACCUUUGCAGUAUGGCCAAGAAAGGAGUCCUUGAAUCAUGGGUUAUGGACUGCAGGUCAUCUUCAGUGAAGGUCUCACUGAAACUCAGCCGUCUCUUCUUCAGAAUCUUCCCGUUGCUUGACGUUGCUGAUACUGUCACCCGGCUCUCCUUGAAGUGAGCAACACCAGCUGUGGUCUCUGAUCUCCUGAAAGCUGACAAUGAAGCCAGUGCUGACCCCUGACCCCAGGCAGAUAAUUACACUUUGAAUUAUCUACAUAAUAAAGGUAUGAAACAGAGGCACUUGUUGAUCUUGGAC
rnacentral:lncRNA from 1 species